rnacentral:rRNA from 1 species
UACGAAGGGGGCUAGCGUUGCUCGGAAUCACUGGGCGUAAAGGGCGCGUAGGCGGCGUUUUAAGUCGGGGGUGAAAGCCUGUGGCUCAACCACAGAAUGGCCUCGAUACUGGGACGCUUGAGUAUGGUAGAGGUUGGUGGAACUGCGAGUGUAGAGGUGAAAUUCGUAGAUAUUCGCAAGAACACCGGUGGCGAAGGCGGCCAACUGGACCAUUACUGACGCUGAGGCGCGAAAGCUAGGGGAGCAAACGGG